UCGCGCUAGGUGGGGAGCUAGCGGUUCCCUGUCACCCGCAAUCCGCUACAGCGGGGCUGAAUUCCCACCGGAGGCCGGAAGCCUGAGGGUCCGGCCCGCGUAAGCGGCGACGACGGCCGGGUCCUGCGCAACGGGAUCUGAUGAACCCCGCCAGGCCCGGGAGGGAGCAACGGUAAGUCAGUCCUCCCGUGUGCCGCAGGGCAACCUGGUCCGAGCCGGCUGCGCGGUUACCGCUUCGGACGUCUGGGUCGAGGGUGGGUGCGCGG
rfam:Armatimonadetes bacterium CSP1-3 XT14_C0069, whole genome shotgun sequence.